rnacentral:rRNA from 1 species
AGGACGAACGCUGGCGGCGUGCUUAACACAUGCAAGUCGAGCGGAAAGGCCCUUCGGGGUACUCGAGCGGCGAACGGGUGAGUAACACGUGAGUAAUCUGCCCCUAGCUCUGGGAUAGCUCCGGGAAACCGGGAUUAAUACCGGAUACGACCACUUUAGACAUCUGUUGUGGUGGAAAGAAUUUUGGCUAGGGAUGAGCUCGCGGCCUAUCAGCUUGUUGGUGGGGUAAUGGCCUACCAAGGCGACG